UAAGGGAUAUUGCGCGAAUGGACGAAAGUCUGACGCAGCAACGCCGCGUGCGGGAGGAAGGCCUUCGGGUCGUAAACCGCUUUUCGAGGUGAAGAGCGAGGACGGUAGCCUCGGAAGAAGUCUCGGCUAACUACGUGCCAGCAGCCGCGGUAAAACGUAGGAGGCGAGCGUUAUCCGGAUUUACUGGGUGUAAAGCGCGUGCAGGCGGUUGGAUAAGUGUGAUGUGAAAGCGCCUGGCUCAACCGGGCGAGGACGUCGCAGACUGUUCGACUGGAGGCAGGGAGAGGUCUGUGGAAUUCCGGGUGUAGUGGUGAAAUGCGUAGAGAUCCGGAGGAACACCAGUGGCGAAGGCGGCAGACUGGCCCUGACCUGACGCUCAGACGCGAAAGCACGGGGAGCGAACGG
rnacentral:rRNA from 1 species